GGAGGAGGAGGAGGAAGGAUGCAGGAGGAGACAGGAAGUAGAAAGAUACUCCUAGGAGGAGGAAGGAGGAGAGAGGAAGUAGAAGGAUGCUUCAAGGAUGAGGAGUGGUACCCAAGGAGGAGGAAGAGUGGGGGAGAUUGAGAGGUCAAGGAAUGCUCUUCCUCCCCUCUCCUGGGUACCACUCCUCCUCCUUGAAGCAUCCUUCUACUUCCUGUCUCCUCCUUCCUCCUUCCUCCUCCUCCUUGAAGCACCCUUCUACUUCCUGUCUCCU